AUUUUUUAAUAUUGCACAUAUUAGUGAUAUCAUAUGAUAUUUGUCUUUCUCUGUAUGACUUCACUUAAUAAGAUAAUCUCUAGGUCCAUCCAUGCUGCUGCAAAUGAAAGAAGCUGUUUCUUGGAUGUUCUUUCUUUAAUGCUCCAAAGCUAGUAGCAGGCUAGUACAGGAAUUGCUAAAUAAAUAUUUUUGUCUGAGCCCAGAUGAUUUUAGCAUAUUUCUGUCUCCAACUAUACUUCUGUCCUCAUUGUUGUUAUUCAUGUCUGGCCAAUAGCCCAGGACCCCAUCACUGGGGCUUUAUCUGCAGCUGGCAGUCCCUAGCAGCCACGACAUUGCCCAGCUUCGUGCUGUGUGACUGUGGCCCAAACUGCUAACGAUUUACUCUUUCUCCUUUUGUGUACAAGCUUCCAGCUGAGCUGCUUUGCAGAUAUUUCAGAAGUAUGUCUCCAAUUCUUUCUAGUCAGCUUUAAUGACCGGCAGUGAAUGUUUGGGAUUUAGAAAUGUCUCUCUUUUUCAAAUGGCAUUAUACAAAUGAAGAAAUUUCUUUCAGUAGGUCAUAUUCCAUAAUAAGCUCGAUAGAUCAAACUCUCACUAAGAAUAGCAUCAACCUUCCUACAUUCCUCUCAUCAUUUCAUUCUCUCUGUAAAAUUCACUAGCAGGCUUCAGUUUGGAGUCCACUUCUUAGAAAAUUUUGCUCUGGGAGUGAUUUGAACUAACUUGGAUUUGAAUUAAUUUAUCUUCUUGGGGCUCAGUUUCCACAAUUUCAGCAACACCUAUGUUUCCAAGUUGCUGGAAAUGCAAGCAAAUAUUUAUGUCAGUCUUCUAGCACAGCGCCUGUUCUUGGCUGAAGAGUGUUGUUAAUAAAAACAGGCCUCCUAUUCCCACUAAAGAUUGUAGGAAAAAGGGAUUGGAAGGAAAUAUCAGUAUAUCAAAAUGUGGACAGUUAUUACUGUGGGGUGUUGAGAUUAUUGUGCUUUUUAUCUUGGCGAUUUAAACUUUCCUGGGCUUGUCAUAUCUUGUUAAAUGAUUAUAUAGUAGUUUUAUAAUCAGAAAAUGUUAAUAAAAUGAUCAUUUUUAUAACCUUUAACAGUUAACAUUUUUUUCUCUUUCCAUUUUUUAUAAUCAGAAAAUGUUAAUAAAAUGAUCAUUUUUAUAACCUUUAACAGUUAAAAUUUUUUUCUCUUUCCAUGAUUCUGUCCCAUUUCUCAAUAAUUCACAACAAAAAAUCCAACUAACUAAAUGAAUUCAUGUUGGUUCAUUUCAUUAACAACCAAAAGAAUUGAUAUGAACACACCAACCAGGACCCGAAGAAAAAUCAGCCUGCAAACAAAUGUGAAUAAGAAUGAAAACUGAGGACUUGAUCUUUGGCACAAGUGUUGGAGUAAAUCAGAACUUGUAGGACCUAGUGAGCAGAUGACAAGUCUUUACUAGUCAGCUCCUGAGGCACCCACUUAUCAAGCUUUUUCACCUUUCCAACUUGGUCCAAAUGCCAAAUGACCAUAGAAUGGUCAACAUGGAGUUCUUCAGUGACUUUUCAUAUAGUUUUAAGAGAAUCAUAUAUUUUUAAACAGAAUCAGCUUCAGUGAUCCUCUCAGUUGUCAAUUCCCAAUGGACUGAUGCUGAAGCUGAAACUCCAAUAUGCGAAGAACUGACUCACUGGAAAAGACCCU